rfam:Gossypium raimondii Chr03_contig_1059, whole genome shotgun sequence.
UGUUGAAAUUUUUAUUUAUUUCUACUAUUAAAAACUGGCAUGGGUGACGAAAAAUGUACCUUAGGUUGAUGUAUAGGUACCAGUGUUUAACAAUAAAAAUGAAUGAAUUUUUUAAUA